rnacentral:lncRNA from 1 species
AAAAACAGAUUAAAACAAUUACUACUCUGAUGACCAAAAUCUGGAGGUCUGGACACCGCUCAUCUUUUGGGCUUUGUACACAAUGCUGAGUUCAAACUAAGACUGUGGUUUCCAGCCCCAGAUUCAUUCUUCUGUCCAACUAUUAUUCAACUGUGACACAGAAAAACAACAUUUCUCUACUUUCAAGGGGUUGGGUUUUGCUUUAUAAUGUCUUGUUAUUUUCUCUUUUCCAGCAUUUACUGUACAGAGAGAAUUAGAGAUAAGUUUCAAUAUUCUUGUAUUGCUUAUAAAGAAUAAUUUACUGCCAUAAACUGAAAUUUGUUGAGCAGAGAUUGUAUUUCUAUGUGAAGUUCUUCCAGCACUGGAAAAAAAAUAAAAAAAAAAUUUACAGGAUAUGCAUCAUAUUGAAUAAGUAUCUUUCCUUCUUAUCAGAAUCUUCUGUUUAUAAAUAAUCUAUUAAAAAAGCCAAACUGGUGCAAAAGCACUGUAAAAUAUGACAUACUCCUGAAACUAGGCUUCUGUAUCACUUCUUCAUUUGAAAUUAACCCUGAGCUUCCCACAGCUUUGUUUGCUGUCACCCCUUCAUGUCUUGUUGCUUUCUUCAUUUACUUCUUUAUAGCAUGAGGUUGCUCUGGUAUUUGUGUGGUAUCUUCAUGUGUUGUUUGCAGGUAACUUAGCUCCUUUGCAGCUCAAAGGUAAAGUUUGCACAGCAUUAUGCUGCUUCAUGAGCCUUGAUCUUGUUGAGGGCACAUGCCCACAGGGCCAGGCUUAUAAUUAACAAAAUUCAUCCAAGCUGGAAGAGGUUAUGAAUGCGUUAUUUCAAUGAGAAUUUAUCCUAAUACUCUAGGCAGACCAAGUUCAACACGAGUUUGUUAUUUAUAUAAACACUGAAAAAAAUUGCUUUAGAGUCUUGAACUUCCUAUUUUUUUGUCCCCUGUCUUGUAAAUUCUUAUAAUAGUCAGUAGUAUCAGGAAUGGUUAUUUCUAUCCUCCUUUGCAAGACAGCUGGUUGUUUGCUGCAUAGAAGCUGCUAACCUGGGGGAGUGUGCUUUUUCCAGGAGACCACCAGAUCACAGCAGAGGGACAGCGAAAGCGAAUGUCCUGUACCGACAAAGGCAGAAGAGUGAAAAGAAAAGGCACGUUCUGAGAACAAACCGAGAGAGUCUGGCGUGGGAGCAGGACGCGGUGACACCCGGAUUCUCCCGCUGGCUCCAGGCGCGCCCGUGGCUCGGGAUAAUCCCGGGAGCGGCUCCGGCUCCGGCUCGUCCCGCCCGGGGCUGGGCGCUCCCAACUGCGCCCCCUGGCG